UACGUAGGGUGCAAGCGUUAUUCGGAAUUACUGGGCGUAAAGCGUGCGCAGGCGGUUAUGUAAGACAGGUUUGAAAUCCCCGGGCUUAACCUGGGAACUGCAUUUGUGACUGCAUAGCUAGAGUACGGUAGAGGGGGAUGGAAUUCCGCGUGUAGCAGUGAAAUGCGUAGAUAUGCGGAGGAACACCGAUGGCGAAGGCAAUCCCCUGGACCUGUACUGACGCUCAUGCACGAAAGCGUGGGGAGCAAACAGG
rnacentral:rRNA from 1 species